rnacentral:rRNA from 1 species
UCGAGAAUCAUUCACAAUGGGGGAAACCCUGAUGGUGCGACGCCGCGUGGGGGAAUGAAGGUCUUCGGAUUGUAAACCCCUGUCAUGUGGGAGCAAAUUAAAAAGAUAGUACCACAAGAGGAAGAGACGGCUAACUCUGUGCCAGCAGCCGCGGUAAUACAGAGGUCUCAAGCGUUGUUCGGAAUCACUGGGCGUAAAGCGUGCGUAGGCGGUUUCGUAAGUCGUGUGUGAAAGGCGGGGGCUCAACCCCCGGACUGCACAUGAUACUGCUAGGCUAGAGGAAUGGAGGGGAAACCGGAAUGCUCGGUGUAGGAAUGAAUUGCGUAGAUGUCGAGAGGAACACUCGUGGCGAAGGCGGGUUCCUGGACAUUAACUGACGCUGAGGCACGAAGGCCAGGGGAGCGAAAGGG